AUUGAACGCUGGCGGCAUGCCUUGCACAUGCAAGUCGAACGGCAGCACGGGAGCAAUCCUGGUGGCGAGUGGCGAACGGGUGAGUAAAGUAUCGGAACGUGCCCAGUCGUGGGGGAUAACGUAGCGAAAGUUACGCUAAUACCGCAUACGAUCUACGGAUGAAAGCGGGGGAUCGCAAGACCUCGCGCGCUUGGAGCGGCUGAUAUCAGAUUAGGUAGUUGGUGGGGUAAAGGCUCGCCAAGCCGACGAUCUGUAGCUGGUCUGAGAGGACGACCAGCCACACUGGGACUGAGACACGGCCCAGACUCCUACGGGAGGCAGCAGUGGGGAAUUUUGGACAAUGGGCGCAAGCCUGAUCCAGCCAUGCCGCGUGCAGGAUGAAGGCCUUCGGGUUGUAAACUGCUUUUGUACGGAACGAAAAGGUUUGGCCUAAUAAGCUGGACCCAUGACGGUACCGUAAGAAUAAGCACCGGCUAACUACGUGCCAGCCGCCGCGGUAA
rnacentral:rRNA from 1 species